UACGUAGGGGGCAAGCGUUGUCCGGAUUUAUUGGGCGUAAAGAGCGUGUAGGCGGCCCCGUUAGUCCGCUGUGAAAGUCCAGGGCUCAACCCUGGAAUGCCGGUGGAUACUGUCGGGCUCGAGUACGGAAGAGGCGAGUGGAAUUCCUGGUGUAGCGGUGAAAUGCGCAGAUAUCAGGAGGAACACCAAUUGCGAAGGCAGCUCGCUGGCGUACUGAUGCUGAG
rnacentral:rRNA from 1 species